AUGCCGCGGUGAAUACGUUCCCGGGCCUUGUACACACCGCCCGUCACACCACGAGAGUCGGCAACACCCGAAGUCGGUGAGGUAACCCCGUAAGGGGAGCCAGCCGCCGAAGGUGGGGUCGAUGAUUGGGGUGAAGUCGUAACAAGGUAGCCGUACCGGAAGGUGCGGCUGGAUCACCUCCUUUCU
rnacentral:rRNA from 1 species